rnacentral:rRNA from 1 species
UCUGGUGGCUUUAGCACGAGCAAAACACCCGAUCCCAUCCCGAACUCGGCCGUUAAGUGCCGUCGCGCCAAUGGUACUGCGUCAAAAGACGUGGGAGAGUAGGUCACCGCCAGACCUGAAAAGAAGCGAAAAUCUCUCGGAACGAAAAAGCACCGCAAACACGCGAUGCAAAUGGCGC